rnacentral:tRNA from 1 species
UGGCUCAGUAGGUAGAGCAUGGUGUUUGCAAUGCCAGCAUGGUGUGUGCAAUGCCAGGGUUGUGGGUUCGAUUCCCAC